GUAGGUUUCUUCACAUGUUAUGUCAUGCUCAAAUAAAGAGAUUGUCUGUCAAGUACAUAGGUGGAUCUUGGUAGAAAUUUUAAGAGUUUUAGACGAUGCAAGCAGUUAUACUCAAUAGUCGCGAUACAUACAAGAUAGAGGAGGGUGGAAAAGAGGUCGUAAAACUAACCAAACAUCCGAAUCUAUAAUAGUACACACAUCAAGCAAUUCUAAUCCCUAAAAUAGAGAGUAAAAUUGAACUUUACUUCAUUCAGAUUUAACAUAUGAAGAUCGGAAGGACUCUUUGGUUCGUCCAUAAUAGAUGGCCUUCCCGCUGGUGUAUGUUAUGAAGUUCCAGCCAAAUGCUGAACCUCCAACGACAUAUGUGCCUGUCCCUUGGACCGCAUCAUCUUCAGCUUCCUGUUUCUCAGAUGAAUUGCCUUCAGGCUUCACAGAGGCCCCACUCUCGGGAGGAGGUUUCAUGUCGUUCUGUUGCUCACUAGGCUUAUCUUCAUCCAUGAUAUCCACUGAAGAAUUCUGGGCUCCGGAUGCAUCCUUAGCCACCUCUGGGUUUACUGUUUCUUCCAUCACCUCCUUGUAAAGAUCUAUCAGGAGAUUCAACUGUUGACGGAUUUCAGUAGCAGCCUUGCAAUUGCGGAAGUCAGGAGUACGGAGAACCUCGAUAACAUGGGGUCGAAGAUCUUUAACAAUGAGUCUCAUCUUGUUGUAAGGGGAAUUUUGUGACUUGGAGAUGUCAAGUGGCCUCUUUCUGUUCAUGGGUGGCUGAGAAGGAGGAAGAUUUUGGCUUUGGGGUGGCGCAGAUUUAGGGGCUUCCAUGGAUUUUCUCUUCUCCCUUUACUCUCU
rnacentral:misc_RNA from 1 species